CUUGCCAUCGGAUGUGCCCAGAUGGGAUUAGCUAGUAGGUGGGGUAACGGCUCACCUAGGCGACGAUCCCUAGCUGGUCUGAGAGGAUGACCAGCCACACUGGAACUGAGACACGGUCCAGACUCCUACGGGAGGCAGCAGUGGGGAAUAUUGCACAAUGGGCGCAAGCCUGAUGCAGCCAUGCCGCGUGUAUGAAGAAGGCCUUCGGGUUGUAAAGUACUUUCAGCGGGGAGGAAGGGAGUAAAGUUAAUACCUUUGCUCAUUGACGUUACCCGCAGAAGAAGCACCGGCUAACUCCGUGCCAGCAGCCGCGGUAAUACGGAGGGUGCAAGCGUUAAUCGGAAUUACUGGGCGUAAAGCGCACGCAGGCGGUUUGUUAAGUCAGAUGUGAAAUCCCCGGGCUCAACCUGGGAACUGCAUCUGAUACUGGCAAGCUUGAGUCUCGUAGAGGGGGGUAGAAUUCCAGGUGUAGCGGUGAAAUGCGUAGAGAUCUGGAGGAAUACCGGUGGCGA
rnacentral:rRNA from 1 species